rnacentral:lncRNA from 1 species
ACGAUGUUUGAAAAUUAAUGUCAAAAUGUCAAAACUAAACAACCGUCAAAACCGUUAAAACAGAAUAUUUUGAAAUGAGGUGAGGAUUAUAAAAAAAAUAGGAGGCAUUGAAUUGAAAUCCCGAAGCCGUAAUUUUUUGAGCAUUAUAAAGAAUGGGUGAUAAUAAAUCCUUUAAAUGUAGUACAUGUAACGGUGAGUAUUGUACUACAGAAUGUCCACGGAAGGACACUAUGUUGGUUGGUGGAGAGCCGCCAGAUGAUAAGGAAA